rnacentral:lncRNA from 1 species
AAUCUUCGCUCCGUUUCCAAUUGAUGAUAACCUUUCAGUCCAAUCGGUCUCCGACACUCUUUCUCUGUCCAAAAGCUCUAAAAUAUGUGUCGAAAUAAUGAUGUCCCGUCCAAAGGGUUGCUAGGGCUUUUAUAGGCUUCUCGUCCCGAUCCAAGAGGAAAAAUGAUUAAAAAUCCGUCUGGCGUGGAACACCCCCUCGGACACGCCGUGCUCCUGGCCGUGUUCAGCCCCUGUGACUUUUAGCCCAUUUUUUCAUCAUCAGGACAUGCCGUGUUCCAUAUGGAACACGCCUUGGGACACGCCGUGUUCUACGCCGUGUUCCUCCCCUGUAAGUUUUUCGCCCUUUUUCACGCGCGGAACACGUCGUGUUCCUGUCCAGCUGCUCUUAAUCAGUCUGUUUCCGCUCCCGCUUAUCCUCAAACACCGUGUAUUGCCUGAAAAUGUAUCAAAAACACACCGUACACGUAAUAUGGCCCCCAGGGGCAAGAGAACGAACAUGUGCUAGAGAUCCAGGGUUUAAACACUUUUCGACACACAAAAGGCUCAUUUUACAAUGAAAAAGGUGUGUCGAAUAUGCAACACAUCAUUAAACGUGUUAAAAAUGAAAAAGAAACCACUAUCAUGAAAAUUCAUAGUGACAAUGGAGGUGAAUUUGUGAACAAGGAUUUCAGUGACUUAUGUAAUAGUUUAGGAAUUCAACAUGUCUUUUCUGCUCCGAGAUCUCCUCAACAAAAUGGAGUAGUCGAAUGAAAGAAUCGUACCUUAGUUGAAAUUCCUCGAACAAUGUUAAAUGACUCCAACAUUCCUUUAAAGUUCUGGGGUGAAGCGGUUAACACUUCCUGUUAUAUUAUUAAUAGAGCUAUUGUUAGAUCUAAGAUUAAUAAACCCCCCUAUGAACUGUGGAAAGGUAGAAAGCCUCACAAUGGAUACUUUCGUCCCUUUGGAUGUAAGUGUUUCAUCUUGAACACUACGGAUAACCUUGGUAAAUUUGAUGCCAAAUCCGAUCAAGGACUAUUUCUAGGAUAUUCUGAUCAUAGUAGGGCUUAUCGCAUUUAUAAUAAACGGAGUAUGAGAGUUGAAGAAUCUAUUAAC